GGGAUAUUCAGGCAAAAUAAUGACAAAAAUAUUAAAAUGAUCUUAUGUACUCAAAUCACGCUAAAAUGACUUUUCUUAAAGUUUAAGCAUGAACUUCUGUAUAUAUUGUAUAUAUUUUAGGUUUAAAGCGUAAAUUUAUCUAUUUAUGUUGAACAGAAUUUAGACGCAAAUAAAAUCACCAAAUAGUUUUAAUACAAGUCAGGUGACUUGAACAAACCCUUGAAGUUACAAUAACAGAUAUUGUGGAUAUUGUAUGAUUGAAACAAGUCUAAGUCAUACAUUUGACAUGUUCUUUAACGUUUCCAGAGCUCACUUUGACCACUAUUGUGAAAUGUUAGCGCUCUAACCUGACCCACGCGGGUCAAGUUAGGAAACCAUCAUUUUAUUCUUUAUAUGGAGAAAGGUUUUGCUCCUUUGACUGUCUAAUAUAUUCAUUUUGAGGGCAUUUACAGAAUAUUUAAUGAAAAAUUCAAAACUAAGAAAUGAAAAUUUUGCCUGUGUCUCCCUAAGUUUAUAAAAAGCAACAUUGAAAUAAGAAUGUUGUUUAAAUUUGAAUAUCAGGACAGCCACAGGACAAGAUAGUGUGCUUGCCAUUUUAAACUCUAAGAAAUCAUGAUUUGUUAUAAAAAAAUAAACAAAAACAAAACAAAAACAUUGCAUGAAAUAAUCUCAUAUAGUAUGCCCAUUUAAUCUAUAUAGAAUUGAUCAGCCAAUACUGCCCAAUAAUUGCUUUCAUUUAGGUAAAUAAAUACUACAAUAUACAUCCACUGAGAUUUUACACUACACAGAUCAGAGCUCUGAUAAAACUCAACUGACCAGCAGUUUCCCACCAUCUUAAAUUCUUUGCAUGACUAAUUUACUCCACUGGUCAUUCCAACAGAUCAGGCUGUUCCAUUGAAUUAUUUUGGGGAGAGAUAACAUUAUAAAUUUCAUAUGCAGAAUUUGUCUAGGACAUUGCAAUUUUUUUUGUUCAGAAAUUUGUAAUGAUUUUUAAAUUCUAUAUAUAUAUCUAUUUGUUACUUGAAUUUUUGUUACAUUCAAUGAAUGGAGGUUGAGAUGAUAAGUAAAUUAACCCUGUUUUACAUAAUGAUUGACCUGUCCAUGCAGUUAUACAGUUGUGAAUUUUGAAUUCUAAGAUAUCUGGGUCAGCAAAAAGAGUGCAAAUAACAGAGGAUGUAUUUGAUAUUUUAACAAUUUUGGAGAUAUACUUUUGUUUAAGAUCUCGAAGUGUUUUAGUAUUGGUAUGAUAAAUAAGUGUGAAAACAUGGGACAAGGAGAUGAACAACAUAAUCAGACUGGGAGUUAAGUGCUGACUGUGAGAUGCAAGGUGUUUCAAUAAAGAUGUGCAGUAUUAAUCCUGAAAAGGUGAGCACAACCACAAGAAGUUCUUGGAAACAAACACAGGCAGUGGACUUAAAACAGACAUCAAUUAAAGAAAUAGUAAUUUAAAUAAUCAGAAACAUUUGAAACAAAUUUAUGAUUGAAACACUCUCAGCAAAAAAAUUGCAAAAAAACAAAGUGUUGGAUUCUAAGAAAACCAGUACCUACCAAAACCUGCAGGUAGAAAAAAAACUGUUUGUGUUAUAGUGAAUGUAUGGUAUUCUAUUCUGUAUUUGGACUAAAGGAUAUGUAUUAAAUUUUGUGAAAGAAAAUUUAAUGUGAUACAUUAUUGAUAUUUAUCCCAAAAAAAUGUGAUCAUGUUAAACUCAUAAAAAUUCCGCCCCCAUGAAUUCUGUCCCAGAAUUCCGCCCAGAAUUUUGUUUGACAAUUCCGUUCCAAAAUUCCGUUCCGAAAUUCUGCCCCGAGAUUCCGCUUCAAAAUUCCGCCCCAAGAUUCCGCUUCAAAAUUCCGCCCCAAGAUUCUGCUUCAAAAUUCCGCCCCAACUCAUUUGCAUAUUUCGUCCCAAUUCCGCCCAGAAUCCGUCCCGUUUCCGCCUGGAAUCCGGCCGGAAUCCGUGCCAAAAGCAAAUGGUUUAACACUUGUAUAUUUGGGGGAGAAUUUAAAUUUCUGGGCGGAAUCUGCCAUUGAAUUCCGCCUCAUUUCCGUGCAGAAAAUUUCGUACAGGUAU